rnacentral:lncRNA from 1 species
GCUCCUCCAACUCCAGCUGUGGAUGCAGAAGCCCCGAAGGCCGGCGCAGCGGGCCCGGUGCCAGCAGAGGGCGCAUGCUCAGCCCGAAGCCGAGGAGGCUUCCUUGCACCUGGCCGCAGGAAACGCAGGGCGGCGCGUCGGGUCGCAAGGCUUCAUCUCCCUCCGACGUUCCGCGGCUUUAGCAGAUCCACUGCCCCUAUCAGGCAGGUACAUUUGGAGGUCAGAGACAUUGAAAACACACAGGGUUCAAGUGUUUUGCACCACGCGGUGUUUACAAGAAAAGGAAAGCCCGAUUUCACACCCAAGUCAAAACCGUAGUCUUCAAGCCAAAUGGUCUUCAAAUCACUUCUGCUUCACCAGAUGACAAGGUGGUUGCCUCCUAGGGGCAAGCCUGUAUGGGAGUCGAGGGUGCUCAGAGCAGCGAGAGGGGCCCCACCAAGCUCCUUCCCAGGAACUACACUAGACAGCUCAGCAUCAAGCCACUACAGCUUUGAACUGUGUCUGUGAGUAUCUGUGCUUUAUCUUGAUUUAUUUUGUGCAUCUGUUACCAAAAAAGAUGUGUCUUAAGG